rnacentral:rRNA from 1 species
UGGGGAAUAUUGGGCAAUGGACGCAAGUCUGACCCAGCAACGCCGCGUGAAGGAAGAAGGCUUUCGGGUUGUAAACUUCUUUUAAGGGGGAAGGAGCAGAAGACGGUACCCCUUGAAUAAGCCACGGCUAACUACGUGCC